GAAGUAUUCUGCUCUUUGGGUUACAAAGAGCCUAAUGGAAUGUGUCAUAAAGCCUAAAGAGCGCAGAACAUUCCAGAUUCUCACUGUUAACAAGAACACACAGGCUACUGUCACUGUUCUAGGGAAUCUGUUCUACCAUAAAUUAGAAGAUAGUAGCUAUUUAGUGGAUUUUACUAACUGAAAAGAAUUGAGGUGUUCUAGCUGAAAACCUGAGGUUUACAGAUACUGAUGAACCUGUCUCAGGUUGUACAUCAAGUAAAUGGAGAAGCUAGAAUUAGAACGCAAGUCUGCAUGACUGCAAAGCCUAUGUAACAGAAGGAAAUGCUGAGAGGGGAUUAUUCCCCAACAGACAGAUCCUCUGGAAAGUGACACAGGCCCACUAUGGAAGGCCUCACAUCUUCUGGAUGGCUUCUUUCCUCAUGAUGGCAAGGAGGUUUCAGAUGAGAAGAGGUGUCCCUGUGGCUUCCUAUUAGAAAUCAGAUAUGAAAAAUCAGGGGACAGAUUCCCAAUCCCUCUUUCAUUUACUUUUCUAGAAGUAAAUUUGCAAUAUAGACAAAAGAAUGAAACAGUAAGGGCUUCAGCUAUUUAAGCAGUGGUAAGCAGUGGGGAUAAAACAAUAAUUUUAGCAUCAACAGAGUUCUUUACUCACGAAGCCUGCAGUUAGUCACGAAUAGAGGUCAUUUCAAUAAAGUAGGAUACAUAUCAGGAACAGAAAUACCAGGACGACUGAGAUAGGCACCAAACCCAGAUCCACACGGCUGGGAAAAGUUCUAACUUUUAACACCUAUGUCUACUCAUCCUCAGAGACUCUAUAUUAAAAAAUAAUAAUAAUGUUUAUUUUUGACAGAGAGAGACAGAGAGACAGAGCAUGAGUGGGGGAGGGGCAGA